CCCUUGCAGCAAGUAAAAAGUCAUUGCAGCUGUCCGUGUUGUUCUGUGUUCAGAGACUGGUUGGUUUCCAGCUUAUCUUUAGAAGAAGAUAACCCUAACAGAGGUGAACUCUCAAGGGAGGUAAAAUGGAUGACAUUUGAUUGGGAUGUAGACUGCCAUGGUGAUGACUGAGGUGGACUCUCAAGAUUUGUUUACGUCUGCUGUUCUGUCCAUGUGGAGCACGGAGAAAGAAAUCGAAGGAGUCACCACCUGAUCUGGUGCUUCGGGGGUCAGCCACGUCUCAGUGAAACAGAGAAUGUUACAAUCCCCCACGUCGCAUUGAAAUAUAAAAGUCCGCUCAACUGUGACACGCCACACUGUACUGCAGCGAUUAGGAGGAAGAAGCAGGUGUGUUAGAAAUCAUCCAUAUGUCAGACACAGUGAGCCGGCUUGGACACAGUGGGGGAAGGAACGGGCGAGAUCUCAAUUUGCCAUCCAUCUACCUCGGCGGUGUGAUGUCAUCUUCACAGGAAGCUGAAGUGGACGACAACACUGAACAUCUCACUGGAUGUUUAAAGGUAUCCCUUUUUCGGACAUUUUCCGAAAUGCACAGACCUUAACCGUAUCUGCUCACGGACGGGGCAGCCCCUAGUUACACAGGUGUAUCAUUCAGGGUCCGCCUACGGCUGGCCGACACCCACAGUCCGGCACACAGGGGAGUGCACCUCUCUCUCCAUGUUGGAGGAAGAGGCACCAGAGAGUCAUUAAAAGUGGAAUAUCUGAAGUGGAACUUGGCUUCAAAGAAUAAGAAAAUAAAAUUACACUUCCCCUCCAUUCUGGAUGCCUUGGAAGCCUGCGAGAGAUGGCAUGGGCCCAUCGUUUGAGGUCGGUGACUGCAUAUUACUGCUAUAUAAAUAUGGAGUUAAAAAAGAAAAAUCAGUCACGGUGGCCAAGAGCCGCUGGGGAUUUCCAGUCGCGGCCGAUUAUACGUACAAGUGGGGCAGCAUGAAACUUCCAUCCACAGUAUCGCGCUGUUUAUCGCAACCAUGUCGAAGAGAUCCAGCCUGCUUCCUAUCAAAACCAAGCAUGCAACGUGUACAUCAGCAUAUUCUGUGUGCACAGGCUAAGCUUGCUGUUCUCAGCUCCACGUAGGUCAUUGGCCGAGUGGCAGCGGCACGGAUGCUGACCUUUGCUCUGUAAUCUCGGGACACUGAAAUAAGUUGGGAGUUUAUGCACCAAUGUCUCAUAAUUGCUGUUUUAUCUGAGCCAAACUUCGGCUAAUAUCUGUGACAUCAUGUGAUAACAUCUGAACGUGAUCUAAUCGACUCAAAUGUAUUUUGAAAACAAGUUUGUCAUUCAACAGAUGCUUCUGCAGAUAUUUUUCUUAUAGAUGGCAUCCCAGGUCGUAUAUUUAAAGCCUGCGCUGAGCAGCUGGCUGUAGUGUUCACGGUCAUAUUCAAUCGAUUACUGACCCAGUCUAUGAUAUCAACAUGUUUUAAGAGAUCCAUCACUGUACUAUUACUGUCUAAAGCAGUACCACCCUGUCGCAUUAACUUCUGUAGCAAUGAAGUGUUCCGGGAAACUUGUGAAGGAUCUCAUAUCCACUUCUCUACCCAAGAACCUGCAUUCAGUACAAUUCACAUAUGAAGCUAACAGAUCCACAGAUGAUGUCAUCACCCUCCUGAUCCAUACUGUAUUAGGCCACCUGGACAACAGGAAAGGCAACUAUGAGAGGAUGCUGUUCAUCGAUUAUAGCUCAGCAUUCAACACUACAAACCCCUCCGGGCUCAUCAUUAAGCUCAGUGACCUUGGACAGGACAUUUCCUUGUGUAACUGGGUACACACUUUUUUUGUCAAACAGAACCUAGGUCGUAAGAGCGGGCCGCGACCAUGGGGGCAGCCCAGGUCUGUGUGCUGAGCCCUCUGCUGUACUCUCUGUAUAGCUAUGACUGCAGGACCACAAUUCUACUCCAAUGUCCUUGUACAGUUUGUGGACGAUAUAUCUGUUCUGGGUCUGAACGCCUAUAAUAAUGAGCAGGUCUAUUGUGGGGAGGUGGAGAGAAUUUUCACUUUGGUGCCAGGAAAAUAGCUUUUUCCUCCAUGCAAACAAGACACAAUGAGCUGAAUGUGGAACUUGGGAGAAGACAGAAGAGGAAUUACCACCACAUCAGUAUCAAUGGUGCUUUGGUGGAGAGGUUAAGCAGCUUCAGUUGCCCCAGUGAUCACAUAAGCAGAGACCUGACUUGGUCCCACACACUGACUCCUUAGUAAGGAAGGCUCACCAAUGUCUGUACCACAGGGGCUUCAGGCUGCCCUCCCAAUACUGAAGAUCUUCUACAAAGCAAACAUCUAAAGCAUCCUGACAGCGAGCAUCGCUGCCUGGUUCAGGAGCAGCACACAGCAGGACUGCAAGGUUCUGCAGAGAGGUGUGCAGUCAGCCGGAUGCACAAUCGGAUCUGCACUCCCCAACCUUCAGAACAUCUACAUCAAAAAAUGCAGGUUCAGGGCCAUGGAAUUCAUUAGAGAUUCCUGCCACCCCAAACAUUGCCUCUUCUCUGUGCUGAGUUUGGGGAAACGUUUUCCCUGCUUCAAGACCAGCAAAGAUAGGCUGAGGAAGAGCUUCUGUCCCCAGGCGAUACAGAUCCUAAAUGAGAUCAGUGUUUAAAACCUGCACAGCCAACAUUCCUGCCUACUCAACUUACACAUGUGCAGUGUAUAUAUGUAAAUACUUAUUUACAGAGGUGGA